UAAGUUAUUAAGGGCGCACGGUGGAUGCCUUGGCACUAGAAGCCGAUGAAGGACGUUACUAACGACGAUAUGCUUUGGGGAGCUGUAAGUAAGCUUUGAUCCAGAGAUUUCCGAAUGGGGAAACCCAGCAUGAGUUAUGUCAUGUUAUCGAUAUGUGAAUACAUAGCAUAUCAGAAGGCACACCCGGAGAACUGAAACAUCUUAGUACCCGGAGGAAGAGAAAGAAAAUUCGAUUCCCUUAGUAGCGGCGAGCGAAACGGGAAGAGCCCAAACCAACAAGCUUGCUUGUUGGGGUUGUAGGACACUCUAUACGGAGUUACAAAGGACGACAUUAGACGAAUCAUCUGGAAAGAUGAAUCAAAGAAGGUAAUAAUCCUGUAGUCGAAAAUGUUGUCUCUCUUGAGUGGAUCCUGAGUACGACGGAGCACGUGAAAUUCCGUCGGAAUCUGGGAGGACCAUCUCCUAAGGCUAAAUACUCUCUAGUGACCGAUAGUGAACCAGUACCGUGAGGGAAAGGUGAAAAGCACCCCGGAAGGGGAGUGAAAUAGAACCUGAAACCGUGUGCUUACAAGUAGUCAGAGCCCGUUAAUGGGUGAUGGCGUGCCUUUUGUAGAAUGAACCGGCGAGUUACGAUUUGAUGCAAGGUUAAGCAGUAAAUGUGGAGCCGUAGCGAAAGCGAGUCUGAAUAGGGCGUUUAGUAUUUGGUCGUAGACCCGAAACCAGGUGAUCUACCCUUGGUCAGGUUGAAGUUCAGGUAACACUGAAUGGAGGACCGAACCGACUUACGUUGAAAAGUGAGCGGAUGAACUGAGGGUAGCGGAGAAAUUCCAAUCGAACCUGGAGAUAGCUGGUUCUCUCCGAAAUAGCUUUAGGGCUAGCCUCAAGUGAUGAUUAUUGGAGGUAGAGCACUGUUUGGACGAGGGGCCCCUCUCGGGUUACCGAAUUCAGACAAACUCCGAAUGCCAAUUAAUUUAACUUGGGAGUCAGAACAUGGGUGAUAAGGUCCGUGUUCGAAAGGGAAACAGCCCAGACCACCAGCUAAGGUCCCAAAAUAUAUGUUAAGUGGAAAAGGAUGUGGCGUUGCCCAGACAACUAGGAUGUUGGCUUAGAAGCAGCCAUCAUUUAAAGAGUGCGUAAUAGCUCACUAGUCGAGUGACACUGCGCCGAAAAUGUACCGGGGCUAAACAUAUUACCGAAGCUGUGGAUUGUCCUUUGGACAAUGGUAGGAGAGCGUUCUAAGGGCGUUGAAGCAUGAUCGUAAGGACAUGUGGAGCGCUUAGAAGUGAGAAUGCCGGUGUGAGUAGCGAAAGACGGGUGAGAAUCCCGUCCACCGAUUGACUAAGGUUUCCAGAGGAAGGCUCGUCCGCUCUGGGUUAGUCGGGUCCUAAGCUGAGGCCGACAGGCGUAGGCGAUGGAUAACAGGUUGAUAUUCCUGUACCACCUAUAAUCGUUUUAAUCGAUGGGGGACGCAGUAGGAUAGGCGAAGCGUGCGAUUGGAUUGCACGUCUAAGCAGUAAGGCUGAGUAUUAGGCAAAUCCGGUACUCGUUAAGGCUGAGCUGUGAUGGGGAGAAGACAUUGUGUCUUCGAGUCGUUGAUUUCACACUGCCGAGAAAAGCCUCUAGAUAGAAAAUAGGUGCCCGUACCGCAAACCGACACAGGUAGUCAAGAUGAGAAUUCUAAGGUGAGCGAGCGAACUCUCGUUAAGGAACUCGGCAAAAUGACCCCGUAACUUCGGGAGAAGGGGUGCUCUUUAGGGUUAACGCCCAGAAGAGCCGCAGUGAAUAGGCCCAAGCGACUGUUUAUCAAAAACACAGGUCUCUGCUAAACCGUAAGGUGAUGUAUAGGGGCUGACGCCUGCCCGGUGCUGGAAGGUUAAGAGGAGUGGUUAGCUUCUGCGAAGCUACGAAUCGAAGCCCCAGUAAACGGCGGCCGUAACUAUAACGGUCCUAAGGUAGCGAAAUUCCUUGUCGGGUAAGUUCCGACCCGCACGAAAGGCGUAACGAUUUGGGCACUGUCUCAACGAGAGACUCGGUGAAAUCAUAGUACCUGUGAAGAUGCAGGUUACCCGCGACAGGACGGAAAGACCCCGUGGAGCUUUACUGUAGCCUGAUAUUGAAAUUCGGCACAGCUUGUACAGGAUAGGUAGGAGCCUUUGAAACGUGAGCGCUAGCUUACGUGGAGGCGCUGGUGGGAUACUACCCUAGCUGUGUUGGCUUUCUAACCCGCACCACUUAUCGUGGUGGGAGACAGUGUCAGGCGGGCAGUUUGACUGGGGCGGUCGCCUCCUAAAAGGUAACGGAGGCGCUCAAAGGUUCCCUCAGAAUGGUUGGAAAUCAUUCAUAGAGUGUAAAGGCAUAAGGGAGCUUGACUGCGAGACCUACAAGUCGAGCAGGGUCGAAAGACGGACUUAGUGAUCCGGUGGUUCCGCAUGGAAGGGCCAUCGCUCAACGGAUAAAAGCUACCCCGGGGAUAACAGGCUUAUCUCCCCCAAGAGUUCACAUCGACGGGGAGGUUUGGCACCUCGAUGUCGGCUCAUCGCAUCCUGGGGCUGUAGUCGGUCCCAAGGGUUGGGCUGUUCGCCCAUUAAAGCGGUACGCGAGCUGGGUUCAGAACGUCGUGAGACAGUUCGGUCCCUAUCCGUCGUGGGCGUAGGAAAUUUGAGAGGAGCUGUCCUUAGUACGAGAGGACCGGGAUGGACAUACCUCUGGUGUACCAGUUGUCGUGCCAACGGCAUAGCUGGGUAGCUAUGUGUGGACGGGAUAAGUGCUGAAAGCAUCUAAGCAUGAAGCCCCCCUCAAGAUGAGAUUUCCCAACUUCGGUUAUAAGAUCCCUCAAAGAUGAUGAGGUUAAUAGGUUCGAGGUGGAAGCAUGGUGACAUGUGGAGCUGACGAAUACUAAUCGAUCGAAGACUUAAUCA
rnacentral:rRNA from 1 species